AUUUUGCACCUGCCGUUCUUCAGCAACUCCUGUUCACUUUCUCUGCGUUCUUGCGUACUUCGUUUUACCACCUCGUGCGUACCUCAGCCCCCCCCCCCCCGUACACGCACGUGCGUCUGUUGACCUCAUUGCUCAACUUUCUCUUUCACUUCUGUUUGUUUGCGCUUUAGUGCUGUUUCAUCCGUCCCUCUCCCCACUCACUCCUACCGCCCUCCCCUGUUUCAGGUUUUGCCUCACUGCCUUGUGACGCUUAGUCGCGCGCUCUCCAAGUCCCUCAUUGCCUAUCUGCGUGUGCAUCCACACUCACCCAUACACAAUCACCGUUUUCUACGACAACUGCUAAGGAAACAUAUACACCCCCUUUUCUUUUCGCUUGUGCGUUUAGCUUUCUCCCUUUUCUCUGUAGCGCUGCUGUCCCCCCCCCGUCAGCUGUUUCCCUCUCCUCCCUUUUGAUUUUGUGUGUCUCUCUCUGUGCGUGCCUUCUCCCUUCUUCCCCUUGUCUCUCCGCUGCCGCCACGCGUUGGUUUGCGUGCGCAUCAAAGGCGAGAAGAUGAAAAAGAGCAUUUCCCUCAAGGAAUUCUCAACGACGCCGACGGUGUCCUACAUGCUUAGCAAGGACGGCCACAAUGUCGCCGCCGCGGCGGAUGCGCAGAACCGCUCCAUGAAUCCGCCGCCGCAGCCGCUUCGCGUGGAGCGUCCGAAGCAGCAGCAACCGGUGCCGGACAGCGAUGACACCAUGUACGAGAUGGAGUAAUGGCACUCUCAAUGGUGAGGUGAGGCGAUGCGCCGUAGACAUGGCGUGCAGCCUACCGUCGGUACGAGAGAUGGUGCUGUCAGUCUUGCGGAUGCGUAUGCGUGUGCGAGCAUACAGAGCAGAGCCGUGCGCGGUAAGAGUGUGCCGCUAAACUGUGAAACGGAACUCGAACAGGGGCCGUACAAGGCGAAGUAGGAAUGGUUGCGUUCCCGUGAGGGGAGAUGCACGAUGCCGGGCCGAUGGCGCGGUAGAAUGGUGUGCAGAGCCGUACAGAUGCACAGAAAUAGGACUGGAGCUGCCUCCCUUUAUGCUUCCUUUGAUUUAUACGUUUGUGCACUCCAUGGGACAUGUCCUGUAAAGUGGCGAAGGCGUGCCGCACCGUCGAACACACUCGCCCCCCACCACCACCCCUCACACACACGCAAAGCAUUUGCAGAAGAUGAAACCCCAUGUGACCGCAAUAUCCACUUUUAUCUCCUGACAAGAUGGGGGGAACUCGGUCAGUUGGACUUCCAAGCUGCACGAGGAGGCAGCGCCGAAUACGACUGGCAGCACGACCCGUGAGGAGAGACGUUCAUGCGUAACACAUCAACGCUCUUCCACACCAGGAGCACACCACUCAGGCUCCGGGGGGGGGGCUGGCCCCCGUCUACGGGAGAAGACGUGUAGCAGAUCGUGGCAGUAGACGUGCCUGCAAGCGGGCAGCAAGUGGCCAGGCCACGACGAGCGUGAAAGGCGUUGCAAAGCGCUUGUGCCAACAACGAAGUCCACCGCCAAGACAGCAACGACGGCAGCCGAAGCGGAACCGCGGGGCCCGCAAUCGAGGGAAGCGCUAGCGGCAACAGCAGCCUCCUGUUCCUGCACGGCGCUCUCCUCACGCCGGCCUCCGAUUGUUCCUCGGUGCAGGCUGGGUACUCCACGCUGAGGGGGGGGCAAAUUCAUCGAUGACAGUGCCAAUCAGACUGGGGGCGCGGGAGAGGGCCACUACACAGAGUGAGUGCGAAACCGCCAGAGGCUACGGUGUGUGGGGGCUGUACACGGUCGCAGCUCAGCAGACGACCCGAACGGAGAAUCAGGAUGGCGCUCUGUGAACCACGACGGCUCAAACGCAAGUCCGCAGAACGGUGGAAGGGGCAGCCGCCAGCAAAGGUUCCGGACCCGCUGCCUGACAAUGAGUUUUUUUUUUUCACAGCGAAGUACUCGACGCACGUAGAGCUUCGGGCGGCGAUGUUGUGCUCGAAGUCCCUGAUGUCACAAAGGCUCGCGGGGCGUAGAGUCCCGAUCAUGCUCCUCGCACUGAUCACGGAGCAUUUCGCAACCGUGACAGCGCAGGCGAAGCACAACGGUGUCGGCAGAAUCGGUAGAGGCCACUAUCUGUAGCGGGUGUACGCGUGCACAGCAAACCUCCACUCUUCAGUGAGCGUUAGUGUGGUGCUCUUCUACAUCGCAGGACCGCAAAACCGAGUGGCUGGCCUGUCGCGCAGCGUCGCAGAUGUCCGUGGGCACCACGGGGAUCAUGCGUAGUGCGGCAGACGACUUGGCGUUGUCUUUGCUCAGAAGUACGUGUUCUCCGUUGUGCGAGCGUGCGCACGAAAGGCCGCCCACGCGAUUGCCGCAACUCGGUCUGGGAGGUGGCAAACGUCCCUCAGCAUUUUUCGGGAGGGGAGAGUUCCUUCAGCGCUGGCCGCGGGAUGGGCGGCUGCAAGCGCAGCUAUGGAGGAAGAGGCACUGCAUGGAUUCUAGACCGGUGCUGGGCCAUGUCGCGCUACACCCGCCCCCUCACGGACGGCGAUCUUAUUGACCCGACAGCAAUCUUCUAUGCAGAUAACGUCGAGCAGCGCACAACCGGCCAGCCAGGUUGUUUCCUCCAGCCUCCUUGCUCACCCCGAUGCUGGGAGGACCGCCACCGACGUGCGACGCAUACAGACGCAGAUAGGCUCGGUCGAAAUGCAGAGCCGAUACGCCCCCAUGUGUAGGAACAACUAGGGGUGAGGGGACGAGGUCCGGCCCUUGGGUGCACGUCUGCUUAGCGGAGAAAUGUGGCCCCGCGAGCACAGCGAGGGCACAACGAAAUAUGUCCACCUAAAUGUGGCGGAAUGCUGAAAACCGCAUGCGGCCAGCAGAGGCGUCAGCAAUGCACGUCACCCUCUUUUCAGCCCUUC
rnacentral:misc_RNA from 1 species